AAAAAUAUGGUUACAUGUGAAAAAAUACCAGCAAUACAGGAAUCUUUCAAAAAAUGUUAACUGGUAUGUAUUUGUCUAAUGAUUAGAAAUAAAAAUCUUUAGUACUAUUUGGAGACUUGGUAUGUUUAUGUGAUUUAGUAAUAACUACACAACACCUUUCCUUCACACAAAGUUCUAAUAAAUCAUUGCCUUUUCUGUAGGUUAAAAUCUGCUGGUAGUCACUCCAUUAUUCUUAUCCAUGGAGAGCAAGAUCUUGAUUUGAAAGUUUCUGAGAAAAUCUUCAGCUCAGACUUGAGGUCAACUUUACCAACUGAAGGAUCUGCAUUUACUGCUCCAACCGCAUCUAAUUUGAUGCCAUCUGCAAAUUUAAAAUGUGUGUCUUCUUAUCCACCACCAAGUCAUCCCUGCGUUACUACCGAACAUCCUUCUCAAUCGCCCCCGGUCCAUGAAUCGCUGUUCUCCAUUGUGUAUUUCACCAGAUGUCCUCAAAACAGACAGGCUGAAAAAGGAAGUGGCUCGUGGAACUGUGGAGUCCAAGUGUAACUGCCAAGAGGCAUCCAGCAAAGCCAGAGAGUCCAAGCAUGUAGCCCUGCCGGUAGCCCGCCACACGCAUGGAAAACCCAGAGGAAAUGAGUGAGGAUCAGUGGGAAGAAGGGAGCCAGCCAGGUGAGCAAGCUCAUCAGUCUGGAGGCCAGCACCACUGGGAAGAAUCCCAGGCAGUUCUGUUUAUUUGGCAAGUUCGGGCCACGACCUGAGCUUACACCAAAUUACGUCAGAGCAAAUUACUUUUUACCAAGCCAUGUAAAUGUUAGGUAAACUCCCUAGAGCUUUUGGGCUGAAGACAGAUGACAACAUCAAAGGCUGCUCUUUAGUUUCCAGGUGUGGUUGGGGGAAUUGUCCAUCUUCUUUCAGGAAAGGGUUAAUUCCUAACUCCUCCCCUAUCCCCACCUCAGGUGAAUUACUUUAUUUCAUGCCAAUUUGAGCAUUACCUGAGACUUUUUACAUAGAACCAAUUUACUUGAACAUUGAGUCCUCUGGUUUUGUUAUAACUGGAUGGGCCUGUGGGUGUGUCUUCAUAAGAGGCAGCCAAGGCUGUGUUUCUUCUUUAUAAAUAUAAUUUUCACACUACAGUCUUUGGGUGCAUAUAUUCUGAGGCAUCCUCCUAGGUGAAUUGAAUCAGACUAUG